rnacentral:rRNA from 1 species
UACGAAGGGUGCAAACGUUGCUCGGAAUUAUUGGGCGUAAAGCGCACGUAGGCGGCUUUGCAAGUCGGAUGUGAAAUCCCUCGGCUUAACCAAGGAAGUGCAUCCGAAACUGCAGAGCUUGAGUACUUAAGAGGAUCGCGGAAUUCCCGGUGUAGAGGUGAAAUUCGUAGAUAUCGGGAGGAACACCAGUGGCGAAGGCGGCGAUCUGGUCCGUUACUGACGCUGAGGCGCGAAAGCCAGGGGAGCAAACGGG